rnacentral:rRNA from 1 species
UACGUAGGGGACAAGCGUUGUCCGGAUUUAUUGGGCGUAAAGAGCGUGUAGGCGGCCAUACAGGUCAGCUGUGAAAACUCGAGGCUCAACCUCGAGACGUCGGUUGAAACCGUAUGGCUAGAGUCCGGAAGAGGAGAGUGGAAUUCCCGGUGUAGCGGUGAAAUGCGCAGAUAUCGGGAAGAACACCCGUGGCGAAGGCGGCUCUCUGGGACGGUACUGACGCUGAGACGCGAAAGCGUGGGGAGCGAACAGG